rnacentral:rRNA from 1 species
GCUGUUUUGCUGGUUCUCUCGAGGACAUGUGCACGCUUGUUGUCUUUAUUUUUCCAACUGUGCACAUAUUGUAGACCUGGAACUCUCUUAUUUGUUUGAAUANACUGAGGACUGCCAUGUGGCUUUGCCUUGCGUUUGCAGGUCUAUGUUGUAAUACAUUUUCACAACUUGUUUCNNAAUGUCCAGUACUGGGGAUAACAAAUAUACAACUUUCAUCAACGGAUCUCUUGGCUCUUGCAUCGAUGAAUAACGCACCGAAAUGCGAUAAAUAAUGUGAAUUGCAAAAUUCAGUGAAUCAUCGAAUCUUUGAACGCAUCUUGCGCUCCUUGGUAUUCCGAGGAGCAUGCCUGUUUGAGUGUCAUCAAAAAUUCUCAACCAUGCUGGUCCUUUCUGGUCUGGUGUGGCUUGGAUUUGGGGCUUGCGGGCUUUUAACACAAGUCGGCUCCCCUGAAAAGGAUUACCGGUAUCCGAGUACCUUGGGCGUGAUAAUUGUCUAUGCCACUGGUAUGCAUGACCUGCUUCUAGCUGAAUGCUGUUGACAAAUUUGACCUCAAAUCANGUAAGACUACCCGCUGAACUUAAGCAUAUCAAUAAGCGGAGGAAAAGAAACUAACAAGGAUUCCCCUAAUAACUGCNAGUGAAGCGGGAAAAGCUCAAAUUUAAAAUCUGGCGGUUCUUG